GACGAACGCUGGCGGCGUGCCUAAUACAUGCAAGUUGAGCGCUGAAGGUUGGUACUUGUACCGACUGGAUGAGCAGCGAACGGGUGAGUAACGCGUGGGGAAUCUGCCUUUGAGCGGGGGACAACAUUUGGAAACGAAUGCUAAUACCGCAUAAAAACUUUAAACACAAGUUUUAAGUUUGAAAGAUGCAAUUGCAUCACUCAAAGAUGAUCCCGCGUUGUAUUAGCUAGUUGGUGAGGUAAAGGCUCACCAAGGCGAUGAUACAUAGCCGACCUGAGAGGGUGAUCGGCCACCUUGGGACUGAGACACGGCUCAAACUCCUACGGGAAGCAGCAGUAGGGAAUCUUCGGCAAUGGACGAAAGUCUGACCGAGCAACGCCGCGUGAGUGAAGAAGGGUUUCGGAUCGUAAAACUCUGUUGGUAGAGAAGAACGUUGGUGAGAGUGGAAAGCUCAUCAAGUGACGGUAACUACCCAGAAAGGGACGGCUAACUACGUG
rnacentral:rRNA from 1 species